CCUACGGGGGGCAGCAGUGAGGAAUAUUGGUCAAUGGGCGCGAGCCUGAACCAGCCAAGUCGCGUGAGGGAAGACGGUCCUAUGGAUUGUAAACCUCUUUUGUCGGGGAGCAAAAGACGCCACGCGUGGCGUUCCGAGAGUACUCGAAGAAAAAGCAUCGGCUAACUCCGUGCCAGCAGCCGCGGUAAUACGGAGGAUGCGAGCGUUAUCCGGAUUUAUUGGGUUUAAAGGGUGCGCAGGCGGAAGAUGAAGUCAGCGGUAAAAUUGAGAGGCUCAACCUCUUCGAGCCGUUGAAACUGGUUGUCUUGAGUGAGUGAGAGGUAUGCGGAAUGCGUGGUGUAGCGGUGAAAUGCAUAGAUAUCACGCAGAACUCCGAUUGCGAAGGCAGCAUACCGGCGCUCAACUGACGCUCAGGCACGAAAGUGUGGGUAUCGAACAGGAUUAGAUACCCGAGUAGUC
rnacentral:rRNA from 1 species